GACAGAGGUGGCAAGCGUUGUUCGGAAUUACUGGGCUUAAAGGGCGCGUAGGCGGUAAGAUUAGUCUGAGGUGAAAUCCUAUGGCUUAACCAUAGAACUGCCUUGGAAACUGUUUUACUUGAGUCAGCAAGGGGAUGGCGGAAUUCCUGGUGUAGCAGUGAAAUGCGUAGAUAUCAGGAGGAAGGCCGGUGGCGAAGGCGGCCAUCUGGUGCUGAACUGACGCUGAGGCGCGAAAGCGUGGGUAGCAAACAGG
rnacentral:rRNA from 1 species